AGAGUUUGAUCCUGGCUCAGAACGAACGCUGACGGCAUGCCUAACACAUGCAAGUCGAACGAACCCUUCGGGGUUAGUGGCGCACGGGUGCGUAACGCGUGGGAAUCUGCCCUUGGGUUCGGAAUAACAGUUAGAAAUGACUGCUAAUACCGGAUGAAGUCUUCGGACCAAAGAUUUAUCGCCCAGGGAUGAGCCCGCGUAGGAUUAGGUAGUUGGUGGGGUAAAGGCCUACCAAGCCGACGAUCCUUAGCUGGUCUGAGAGGAUGAUCAGCCACACUGGGACUGAGACACGGCCCAGACUCCUACGGGAGGCAGCAGUGGGGAAUAUUGGACAAUGGGGGAAACCCUGAUCCAGCAAUGCCGCGUGAGUGAUGAAGGCCUUCGGGUCGUAAAGCUCUUUUACCAGGGAUGAUAAUGACAGUACCUGGAGAAUAAGCUCCGGCUAACUCCGUGCCAGCAGCCGCGGUAAUACGGAGGGAGCUAGCGUUGUUCGGAAUUACUGGGCGUAAAGCGCACGUAGGCGGUUACUCAAGUCAGAGGUGAAAGCCCGGGGCUCAACCCCGGAACUGCCUUUGAAACUAGGUGACUUGAAUCUUGGAGAGGCGAGUGGAAUUCCGAGUGUAGAGGUGAAAUUCGUAGAUAUUCGGAAGAACACCAGUGGCGAAGGCGACUCGCUGGACAAGUAUUGACGCUGAGGUG
rnacentral:rRNA from 1 species